UACGAAGGGGGCUAGCGUUGCUCGGAAUUACUGGGCGUAAAGCGCACGUAGGCGGACCUUUAAGUCAGGGGUGAAAUCCUGGAGCUCAACUCCAGAACUGCCUUUGAUACUGAAGAUCUUGAGUUCGGGAGAGGUGAGUGGAACUGCGAGUGUAGAGGUGAAAUUCGUAGAUAUUCGCAAGAACACCAGUGGCGAAGGCGGCUCACUGGCCCGAUACUGACGCUGAGGCACGAAAGCGUGGGGAGCAAACAGG
rnacentral:rRNA from 1 species